GAAGCAGACCAGUGGGCCACACUGGGAGGAGGAGGUGGCAGGGGUGCUGGGGCAAAUGCAGGGGAGCUUCUGCCUCUAGAUGCUCGCGACCCCGCCAGGAGGCUUUGAGUUCCCUCUGACCCUGGACAACUGCUCCUCAAGGCGUCCAUCACGUGUCACCUCCACAUUUCUGAGGCUUCCCUGGGAGGAAGCAAAGCAGGAUGAGAGCUUCCUUCCUGUUGACUUUCCUGAGAAGGGGCAGGGGUAUCAGGCAGGCAGAGAGACCAUCCAGUCCAGGCACGUCCUGGGAGGGAAGGGAGCUGGGCUACACGCUGCAUGGUUACUUUUGAGGAAGCAAUCACGGCGAUCUUGAUUUUGGAAACAGGACAGCCUCCUGUGAUGAAGGGACAGACCGCCGGUGUGGCUAGUUCAGUCCAGAGUCCGUGUGGUGGGCCUUCAUUGGAAACACCUUCUGCUCCGCCAGCUCAGUUCUCAUGAAAACAAACAAUGGUGCCCUUUGCCCAAGUCGGAAGAGGAGGCUGUGAAAUCGCCAUGAGCUUCCCGUGCAGGCCACAGCUUCAAUCAGGUCCUUCUGCUGGGGCGCCUGGGAUGGGUCACACCCUUUGCCUCCUCUCUCUGGAUGGCAUUUCUAAGUCACACCAGGUGAGCAGUUGCUUUUCCACAUCACCGGGCCAAGUUGUAUUUUCUCAAUUGUUGUCCUGCUGGACCACAGUGGCAUACCAGGUCCUAUUAACAAAGUGGAGAAAGCAGAGAUGUAAAAGUUGCACUGGCUUUUUAAGACUGCCGAACUAACUGCUUCAGGGGGGACCUUGUUUCCAGCCAUGAACUUAUGAACUGAGGAUUUUAUGAAAUCCAAUCCUCAUUGUUAUUAUAGCAUAAUCCUCUUUCAGUUAUCCACCCAAUUUCUCUGUAACAGUUUUACUUCUUCCUUCCUUUUCCUGUCAGGGGCUCUGGGCAUUGAGGCUUGGGAUACCCAUCUCCUGAGCCCUUCUUCCUGGGAAGAUGCCAGGGGCCAAAGCCAGGUGGACGCCAGCUCAGCCUCUACACUCUCAGUCCCAACUGGGUGUGAUCACUGCAGAGCUCCUCUGGGGUGGAGAGAAAGAAGAAAUAAAAGAGCCCUUCUUUAUAUAAAAUUGGAUUUU
rnacentral:lncRNA from 1 species